AGGACCCUCUGUGACAGGACAGGACCCUGGCCCUCAUUCACCCGGCCAGAGGAGUCUCUCAUCCUGGGAUCCCUAAAUUUGUGCCCCUAGCACAGUCUCCUCUGCUUCCAACUUGUCUCCUAGCUAGAGACCAACCUGUUCACCUUCCCUUGGGGCUUCCCGCACAGGGAUCAGGCAGAUACUCCUGGGGGUCCCUCUCUCAUGAGGGGGCUGCAUGGGCUAGGGUGGGGGAAGAUGACUGCUCCAUGUUCUCCUCAGAUUGACACUACUCUCUUCGCAGGCUCGUUUUCAGGAUUCCACGAGGGGGUUGUUCUGUGUCACCACGCCUAGGGGCUACCAUGUCAGAGCUGGAAUCCCUGCUGCACGGCUUCCUUGGGGUGCAGCCCAGAGUCUUUGGGGGAUGGCAUCCCUGCACGUUGGUAUCUGACUGGCAUCCUUAGUGACUGUGAUGCUCCCAGCCCCCUUGCCAAUGGCUGUAGCGUCUCUCGUUGCCAGGCGGUGCUAGUGGUGGUGGGGCUGCUGCAGGUGGCCUUCGGAACCCUCUUCGUCAUCGACAACUGCGCUUACACGGAUAGUGUCGGCAUCCAUUUCUUCCCAGGAAUCCUGUUAUUCUUGGCUGGCAUCAUUGCCAUCGCUGCUGACAGAGCACCUAGCAUGGCCCUGGUGAAGGCCUGUCUGGUGAUCCAGAUCAUUGCUGCAGCUGUUGUCAUGGUGAUCAACUUCCUCUACCUGAGGGACCUGCUCUCCUAUCUCAGUUUUGCCUGUGAUCUCCAGGACCAGCUCCAGAAUUGCCGUGUGCAUGAUCAGAUCAUGGUCUACUGCACAGGCAUGCGGGGCAUUGCACUGUUCACAGCAACUCUGGGGUUGUGCCUCACUGUUUCUCUGGCAGCAUUUGGAUGCAAAGUUGUCUGUUACCAGAACUCUGAAGAUGAUGUGCCCAUUGUUGCCCUUAGCUCUCAUGAGGAAAAAGCAGAUCCUGAGUGAGAGGGGGCCCCCUUCGUGCCACCAGCCUGAGUGACAUCACCAGACAGCUCCCCCAAUGGAGAUGCCAGUGGUUCCCCCUGCCCCGAGCAAGUGCUGCUUCACUUCUGAGCAAUAACCCAUGGCAAGGGGUGGGGCCAAGUACCCAAGCAGUGCAGGAUUCUGUGCCAAGGGGCACAGCCAGGCAGACCUUCUCCCUACUAGAGAUUGGCAGAUUCCCCACCAACCCUGGCCCCAGUGACUAUUCCCACUGGCUUCUCCACCCAGCUGGCAAAUGGCCUGGAUUCUCCCCUGGUCAAUAAAUGGCCUCUAUUUCCCCA
rnacentral:lncRNA from 1 species